AGCAGCCGCGGUAAUUCCAGCUCCAAUAGCGUAUAUUAAAGUUGUUGCAGUUAAAAAAGCUCGUAGUUGAAUUUCGGGAUCAAUAUGUUGGUCGUGCCUUGGUACGUACUAAUUUAUUGGUUUCUUCCUUCUGACGAACCAUGAUGUCAUUAAUUUGGUGUCUUGGGGAAUCAGGACUGUUACUUUGAAAAAUUAGAGUGUUUAAAGCAGGCUCACGCUUGAAUACAUUAGCAUGGAAUAAUGAAAUAGGACGUUUGAUUCUAUUUUGUUGGUUUCUAGGAUUGACGUAAUGAUUAAUAGGGAUAGUUGGGGGCAUUAGUAUUCAAUUGUCAGAGGUGAAAUUCUUGGAUUUAUUGAAGACUAACUACUGCGAAAGCAUUUGCCAAGGAUGUUUUCAUUAAUCAAGAACGAAAGUUAGGGGAUCGAAGACGA
rnacentral:rRNA from 1 species